rnacentral:tRNA from 6 species
GGCUGGGUAGCUCAAUGGUGGAGCGGUCGUUUCAUAAGCGACAGGUUGUCGGUUCGAUCCCGACCCCAGCUA